GUGUCAGCAGCCGCGGUAAGACGAACCGUGCAAACGUUGUUCGGAAUCACUGGGCUUAAAGGGCGCGUAGGCGGCCGAUCAAGUCGGGGGUGAAAUCCUGCAGCUCAACUGCAGAAGUGCCUUCGAUACUGACCGGCUCGAGGGAGGUAGGGGUGUGUGGAACUUCUGGUGGAGCGGUGAAAUGCGUUGAUAUCAGAAGGAACGCCGGUGGCGAAAGCGACGCACUGGACCUCAUCUGACGCUGAGGCGCGAAAGCCAGGGGAGCAAACGGGAUUAGAUACCCCGGUAGUCCUGGCCCUAAACGAUGGGCACUAGAUUGUAGACUUAACAUGGGUUUACAGUCGAAGCAAAAGUUUUAAGUGCCCCGCCUGGGGAGUAUGGUCGCAAGGCUGAA
rnacentral:rRNA from 1 species